rnacentral:rRNA from 1 species
UACGAAGGGGGCUAGCGUUGCUCGGAAUCACUGGGCGUAAAGGGUGCGUAGGCGGGUCUUUAAGUCAGGGGUGAAAUCCUGGAGCUCAACUCCAGAACUGCCUUUGAUACUGAAGAUCUUGAGUCCGGGAGAGGUGAGUGGAACUGCGAGUGUAGAGGUGAAAUUCGUUAGAUAUUCGCAAGAACACCAGUGGCGAAGGCGGCUCACUGGCCCGGUACUGACGCUGAGGAGCGGAAAAGCGUGGGGAGCGAACGAGGAAUUAUAAACCC